UACGAAGGGUGCUAGCGUUGUUCGGAAUUACUGGGCGUAAAGCGCGCGUAGGCGGCUUUUCAAGUCAGGGGUGAAAUCCCACAGCUCAACUGUGGAAUUGCCUUUGAAACUGUAAAGCUUGAGUGUCGGAGGGGAUAGCGGAAUUGCUAAUGUAGAGGUGAAAUUCGUAGAUAUUAGCAGGAACACCGGUGGCGAAGGCGGCUAUCUGGACGACAACUGACGCUGAGGCGCGAAGGCGUGGGGAUCAAACAGG
rnacentral:rRNA from 1 species